UACUAGCCAGUCAGAAGCAGAGUAUGAGGGCCCUGACAGUACCUAGGUAAGGACUACUAGCCAGUCAGAAGCAGAGUAUGAGGCUAGCAGCUAGGUGAGCAUUACAGCGUUUGUCUCUGAAGGUUGGACUACAACAGAGCUGUUUGGAGCAGGCUGUGAGCAGUGGUUUCUGUUGGAGAUGGUAUAUAUAGAUAUAGACAGAUAGAUAUAUACAUAACACAAUGAAAAAGUCCAAAAAGCCUAAUAUGAGCACAGAAGACUUUUUUAAAUUGAAUUCUGGAAACUACGAAGAGGAGUUUUCUAGACAAAAAUACUAUGAAAAUACUACUUAUUUAAAUAGUAUAUAUUCACUAGAGAUCACAUUUCAAAAUAAGGUAUUCAGUUGCUAAUACUACUCAAAUCCUUAUGGCCUCUCUUUGCUUCCAUAUUAAAUACAAGUAAUACAAUACAAGUUACUCAAUACAUAAACAGUGAAGCUAUAUGAAGCAGUUAAUUUGUAAGAAAACUAGAACUGAGUAAUUUGUGCCCGAUGGCGGAAUGAACGCUCACUGUGAGAUGAUCUAGAACCCAUACAGGUCAGUCCGUUGGGAGGUAUUCAACAGUGUCAGAACUGUUCAGAUACUACAGAAUAACGUGUAACAUGAAUACAUACAUAUACUACACAUGGAUGUAUGCAAACAGUAUGCUAUAUAAACUGUGGGGUAUAUGCUGUAUAUGUACCCUGAUCCAUUUCUAUUUACAGUAUAUAGACGUAUUAGCUUCAAACGAGAGGAACACCAGUAGGAGUCUUUCAUGUUGGUGAAAGGUGAGUGAAGCAUUAGCCAAAGUAUUAAGUUUGAAUUGUGUGUAUUUUCUGAGUGUGUGAUAGUCAUGGGGGGGCACUAUGUAUUAGAGAUAUGCUCAUCGAAGAUGCAUCAGAUGUGUCAAAUUAUUGCAAAGGAAAAUGCAUUUCCUGUUGUAUUAUUAUUGUUUGUGAUGGAUAUGCCUUGUGUUCUAAACACAUACUGUCAAGUUUAAAUUGUACUUUUAAUUUUAAAUGACACUUUAUUGGAUCCAUAUGAUGGUGCUCAGAGUCCCUGCUGUUAGAACAUUCGAUUGGUCAGUCUGGAUGACUGACAGACCAGAGAGGCAGUAGGAACACUAAACGAGUUCACAUUUAGUGAGUGAGUCCUGAAACAACCACAGCAAGAAUCAUUCUUUAGAAUAAGGAAUAAAGUAAUAUGUAUCCGGUACAGCCAUUGUAGACGUCUCUCUACAUCCCCACAAGGAAUUAUUAAAAGUCAGGUUUCCCCUUUUUUUAGACAGUGAAGUGUGGGGAUGCGUUACCAUGGUAACCCACUGGUUGGGGGAACACUACCUAAAUUUAGAAUUCCAGUAUGUUUCUGGCUUCCACCGAGCGCUGAGGACCAUAUCUGGCUCUUUAUCUGCUGAACGCCCCACUGUGAUCAGCAGCUAGCUGCUAACUCGGUUAGCCCGCUGCUGUGUGCUGCUGGGGAGGUCGAGUUAGGGUUUGGGUUUGGGUUCGGGUUCGGGUUAGGGUUUGGGUUUGGGUUAGACACUAGAGAGCUUUUCUACUAAAGACACAGGGCGGCUCCGGAUGGGAACAGGUUAAUGAGAGAAGAGUUAAGGAGCUACAGAGUUGGGGGAUAACUGUCCGUGGUUCAGCACUACGAGUGAUCCACUUUUAAUAUUAAAAAAGCUAAGUGCAGCUUUAAUUAAGGUUCUAACUAAAAACUCCCUUUUAAUGAUACUGAAAGUGUUCAGUGUACUCUUAACACUAGAAAUCGUACCAGACAGUGGACGUGGUAUCCAGCUCUCUGGUUUGCAUACGUGUAGUUAGCUUCUAUUUCACUCAGUAGUUUUACACAUUAACUAGUGACACUAAGCUAGUUAAAGAGUAACUAAUACUGGAGUUUGGUGCGUCAGGUGAUCCAGUCAGACUGAAUCAUGUCGCUAAUGUUCCAUCCGUUUGGUUCAACGUUCAGCGGCGUACUGGAUGCUUUUCAGUUGAAGUGCCUUAUUUGUUUCAGUGCAUUAACACAGGAUUAGUGCAAGCAGAGGGACUUCUACAGUGGCUGUAUACACCGUACACACACGUACACACACACACACACACACACACACCGUACACACACACACACACACAUACACACCGUAUACAUCACUGGAUCAGAACCAACAACCGUGGCUUCAGUCGUACGGUUUAUUAUUGUUCAUUACCAGGUGCUUUACAGGCGAAGCUACUAGUUCAGAGUUAGAAACUCGACACAAAUACCUCACUUUACCCCCCCCCCCCAGCUAUAAGCUACAGCCCGCAGGUUCCUCCUCAGCUGCUUCAAUGUGAAUCCGAGUUCAGACGCUCGAGGGGAAGAGAUUAGCGAUGGCUGAUCUGGAACACCAGAACCGGCAGCGUCCUCUAAAAGGGAAUAUUCCUUCUCCAACUCGAGCCAAUAUUAAGUUUGAAGAUAAAGGGAAAUUCCACUCCAAAAAACAACUUAUCAUUCAUAAGCUCCUGCUGCCACCAAGUCCAAGGAAUAUAAAAUGUUUCCCUUGUUCCUGGUGGACCACUAGCACGGUGUGGGCUGAGAGUCUUCUGGGGGUCCCAGGUGUCUGUUGCUUUAAGCGUUUGGAUACUCGGAGGCAUCAUUAGCAAGUGACGUAGCUUUUUUUUGUCAUCUGUUGUCACCAUAAUAUUGAAAAAUACUAUCCCCCUAGGGGUUAGAAUUGUGUUUUUUUGUUUUUUAUAAAUCUGCCAAGCAGACGUCUUUGAGAAAAGAAUCCGUUGAGUUCAUUAACGACAACGUGCUGUUGGAGAUUAUUUCUGGAUUUUGAAUCUUGCAGUUGCUCUCUUCACGGCUUUCUUAUGAAGUUGUACUUUGGAGUUGUGAAGCCGCAAAGUGAUGUAAAAUGAAAAAGUAGUUUAUUAGUGUCAUUUUAGAGCCAAAUAGUCUGAAAGUAAAAAAGAAAUAAAAACGAUAAGAGAAUUCACAUGAGACCAUAAUCAGAAACUCACAAUCUCUCAUCUCGUCUGUUCCUUCUGAUUGGUCUUUGUUUCUUGACAUUUCAUUUUGCUUUCGGUUUCUGACCCUGAAUUGGCUCCGUACUUUGUCUUUACAAAGUGUUUAUUCUCAUCAUCAACUUGAAAUGCAUAAUAAGUCAAAGUUGUCAUGAAAUGGAGAACCAGGCUUUCCCAUAAAUGACAAAGAAAGCCUGAGCUGCUCCACUCCAGUGAGAUCAGCUCCAGUGAGAUCCAGUAAGAUCUGCUCCGUAUCUUCCUCGCAGGUCUAAAGGCAGUUUCAGCCUUCAGCCCCCGGUGCCUCGCUACAGUUUUGUUUAAACGGCUGGUCUUCUGGGGGCGCCUGGUUAGCUCAGCUGGAUGAGCGUGUCCCCCAUGGACAGAGACUCAGUCCUUGAUGCAGCGGCCAAGGGUUCAAGUCUGGUUACGGGUUUAUUCCCCCCUUUCAAUUCUUCAGCUAUCCUAUCAAAUAAAGGCCUAUAAUGCCACAACAACAACAAAAAAAAGAUAAAAUAAAAAAAAUGCACGUCCUUCCCACGGAAAAAGCGGCUGAUGUUUCACGUCCAAUCCCGGCGUCGACUACACCUGGACUUCCUGACCCGUUUACACACACGUACACACACACACACACACACAGUACAGUAAGGGAUUGUCAGGCCCCUCUGUCCCUACAGCCACUAGGCUGUCCAGGGUGCAUGCUGAUGAAGGGGUGGAUGGGGUUGGACAGAAUCUGAUCUGAGGUCUGCAGCGUCGCUGUGGUUUCCGUCGGCCACGCCUCAGGACCGAACGUCGCCGGUGUCCGUGGGACAUUUGGACAGUUGUAUUCCAAGAUGCUGUUUUUAAUUUAGGUGAUAAAACUUCAUCAUUCAUGCAUUCAACAUAAAAUGUAGAUGUUCCAGUGUUAAUGUCCUUUAUUCAGCCAAUGACUUAAAAUGCUUCUUAGUCAUGUAAAAAGCUUCUUUUUCUACUUCUGAGUGGUUCAGUUUGGCAAUAAAUUAUUCAAUAAUUCUCUAUAGAAUGAAAAAUAUCAAACCUCAGCAGGAUGUUUGUUCUAUCACUUUGAAUUAAUUUGUAUCCCCUCGUUCUUUUCUAUUUCAAGAUUUAGUGCCUUUUUUGGACGGUAGACUGUUCUGUAAAUGCGAUGUAGGAAAUCUACAUUUGCCUUUUGUUACUUUUUCAUCUGUUAAUAAACCUUUUUGUUAUUUUUAAGGUGUUUUUAUUGAUAUUCUAUUUACAGCAGAAUAAAAAGUGAUCCGAGUCUA